rnacentral:rRNA from 1 species
GACGUAGGGCGCGAGCGUUGUCCGGAUUUAUUGGGCGUAAAGAGCUCGUAGGCGGCUUGUCGCGUCGACCGUGAAAACUCGCAGCUCAACUGCGAGCCUGCGGUCGAUACGGGCAGGCUAGAGUUCGGUAGGGGAGACUGGAAUUCCUGGUGUAGCGGUGAAAUGCGCAGAUAUCAGGAGGAACACCGAUGGCGAAGGCAGGUCUCUGGGCCGAUACUGACGCUGAGGCACGAAAGCGUGGGGAGCAAACAGG